UGUGUGCCUUGAUGACUGAACAAUUCAGCUGGGAAUGGAAAAUGGUACCUUGUAAAAUGCAGCUGACACCGUUUUAUAUAUGUGAAAAACCUUCGAAUCAAAUGGACGACUGCGGCAUAUACUUGUAUAGAUGCCAAAAUGGCGAAUGCAUACUUCCGGUUUACGAGUGUGACGGCUUUGUUGAUUGUUUUGAUGAAUCUGAUGAACUUGAUUGCCAGACGGAGUGUUCUAAUACUAGCUAUACUUGUGCAAAUGGGC